UUUCCGUAGGUGAACCUGCGGAAGGAUCAUUAUCAAACAGCGGCCUUCGGGCUCGACCUCCAACCCUUUGUGAACACAACUUGUUGCUUCGGGGGCGACCCUGCCGUUUCGACGGCGAGCGCCCCCGGAGGCCUUCAAACACUGCAUCUUUGCGUCGGAGUUUAAGUAAAUUAAACAAAACUUUCAACAACGGAUCUCUUGGUUCUGGCAUCGAUGAAGAACGCAGC
rnacentral:misc_RNA from 1 species